AGCUCCAAUAGCGUAUAUUAAAGUUGUUGCAGUUAAAAGCUCGUAGUUGGAUUUCUGGUGUGUGAGUAUUGCGUCCUUGAAUGUGUACCGAUGUUCGCCGCCAUCUUGGGGACUACUUUGUAAGGACGUUAAUUCGUUUUUAUGAGUGCCCCUCCUUAACUGUGAAAAAAUUAGAGUGUUCAAAGCAGACAAAAUGUCGUGAAUACAUUAGCAUGGAAUUAUACCAAAAGGUAGGAAUUUGUGAGUCUCACCACUCCUGUUCCCACAAUGAUCAACAGGAUCAAACGAGGGUAGAAGUACUCAAUUGUCAGAGGUGAAAUUCUUGGAUUUUUUGACGACUCCCUAAAGCGAAAGCAUCUACCAAGCAUGUUUCCA
rnacentral:rRNA from 1 species